rnacentral:rRNA from 1 species
UGAGCAAUCUGCCCUUCACAUCGGAAUAACCAUUGGAAACGAUGGCUAAUACCGAAUAUGACUUCGGAUCGCAUGAUCUGAAGUGGAAAGCUCCGGCGGUGAAGGAUGAGCUCGCGGCCUAUCAGCUUGUUGGUGAGGUAAUGGCUCACCAAGGCGACGACGGGUAGCCGGCCUGAGAGGGUCGACCGGCCACACCGU